AUAAUACUCCUUCCGUCCGGAAAUACUUGUCAUUGAAAUAGAUGUAUCUAGAUGUAUUUUAGUUGUAGAUGCAUUCAUUUUUAUUCAUUUUAAUGACAAGUAUUUUCGGACGGAGGAAGUAUGUU
rfam:Triticum aestivum genome assembly, contig: Triticum_aestivum_CS42_TGACv1_scaffold_579336_7BL